rnacentral:rRNA from 1 species
UAUUGCGCAAUGGAGGAAACUCUGACGCAGUGACGCCGCGUAUAGGAAGAAGGUUUUCGGAUUGUAAACUAUUGUCGUUAGGGAAGAAAAAAGACAGUACCUAAGGAGGAAGCUCCGGCUAACUACGUGCCAGCAGCCGCGGUAAUACGUAGGGAGCAAGCGUUAUCCGGAAUUAGUGGGUGUAAAGGGUGCGUAGACGGGAGUCUAAGUUAGUUGUGAAAGCCCUCGGCUCAACUGAGGAACUGCAACUAAAACUGGGCAUCUUGAGUGCAGGAGAGGAAAGUGGAAUUCCUAGUGUAGCGGUGAAAUGCGUAGAUAUUAGGAGGAACACCAGUGGCGAAGGCGACUUUCUGGACUGUAACUGACGUUGAGGCACGAAAGUGUGGGGAGCA